rnacentral:rRNA from 1 species
UCCGUAGGUGGAUAAUUAAGUCAGAGGUGAAAUCCUGCAGCUCAACUGUAGAAUUGCCUUUGAUACUGGUUAUCUUGAGUUAUUAUGAAGUAGUUAGAAUAUGUAGUGUAGCGGUGAAAUGCAUAGAUAUUACAUAGAAUACCAAUUGCGAAGGCAGAUUACUAAUAAUCAACUGACACUGAUGGACGAAAGCGUGGGGAGCGAACAGGAUUAGGUACCCUGGUAGUCC